rnacentral:rRNA from 1 species
UUUUGGCCAAUGGGGGGCAGGGCCUGAUCCAGCCAUUCCGGCGUGAGGGAAGAAAGGCUUUUGGGUUUGUAAAGCUUUUUUGCAAGCCACCCCCACCUUAUUUUUUAAUAAAGAGUGAGGUUGACGGUACCUUGAUAAGAAGCACCGGCUAACUACGUGCCAGCAGCCCCGGUAAUACGUAGGGUGCGAGCGUUAAUCGGAAUUACUGGGCGUAAAGCGUGCGCAGGCGGCUUUGUAAGUCAGAUGUGAAAUCCCCGAGCUCAACUUGGGAACUGCGUUUGAAACUACAAGGCUAGAAUAUGUCAGAGGGGGGUAGAAUUCCACGUAUAGCAGUGAAAUGCGUAGAGAUGUGGAGGAAUACCAAUGGCGAAGGCAGCCCCCUGGGAAAUAUUACGUCAGCACGAAA